CAGUAGCCGCGGGAAUACAGAGGGUGCAAGCGUUAAUCGGAUUUACUGGGCGUAAAGGGCGCGUAGGUGGUUAUGUAAGUGAGAUGUGAAAUCCCCGGGCUCAACCUGGGAACUGCAUCUUAUACUGCGUAGCUGGAGUGCAGUAGAGGGUAGUGGAAUUUCCGGUGUAGCGGUGAAAUGCGUAGAUAUCGGAAGGAACACCAGUGGCGAAGGCGGCUACCUGGACUGACACUGACACUGAGGCGCGAAAGCGUGGGGAGCAAACAGGAUUAGAGACCCCUGUAGUCCCUGUCUCUUAUAC
rnacentral:rRNA from 1 species